AACGAACGCUGGCGGCAGGCUUAACACAUGCAAGUCGAGCGCCUCGCAAGGGGAGCGGCAGGCGGGUGAGUAACGCGUGGGGAUCUGCCUAGUGGUACGGAACAACUCAGGGAAACUUGAGCUAAUACCGUAUAAGUCCUUCGGGAGAAAGAUUUAUCGCCAAUAGAUGGGCCCGUGUCGGAUUAGCUAGUUGGUAGGGUAACGGCCUACCAAGGCGACGAUCAGUAGCUGGUCUGAGGGGAUGAUCAGCCACAUUGGGACUGAAACACGGCCCAAACUCCGACGGGAGGCAGCAGUGGGGAAUAUUGGACAAGGGGGGCAACCCUGAUCCAGCCAUGCCGCGUGAGUGAUGAAGGCCCUAGGGUUGUAAAGCGCUUUUGUGCGGGAAGAUAAUGACGGUACCGCAAGAAUAAGCCCCGGCUAACUUCGUGCCAGCCGCCGCCGUAAGAC
rnacentral:rRNA from 1 species